UGGGACUGAGACACUGCCCAGACUCCUACGGGAGGCUGCAGUCGAGGAUCCUUUGCAAUGGGCGCAAGCCUGACAAAGCGACGCUGCGUGGAGGAUGAAGGCCUUCGGAUCGUAAACUCCUGUCAUUCGGGAACAAUAACGUGGGGGUUAAUAACCUCUGCGAAUGAUGGUACCGGAAGAGGAAGCCACGGCUAACUCUGUGCCAGCAGCCGCGGUAAUACAGAGGUGGCGAGCGUUGUUCGGAUUUACUGGGCGUAAAGGGUGCGUAGGUGGUCUCGUGUGUCGGGUGUGAAAUCCCACGGCUUAACUGUGGAACUGCGCCCGAAACUGCGGGACUAGAGUGCAGGAAGGGAGAGCGGAAUUCUUGGUAUAGCGGUGAAAUGCGUUGAUAUCAAGAGGAACACCGGUGGCGAAGGCGGCUCUCUGGAAUGCAACUGACACUGAGGCACGAAAGCUGGGGGAGCAAACAGGAUUAGAUACCCUGGUAGUCCCAGCCUUAAACGGUGUGCACUUGGUGUAGGAGGAAUUAACCCCUCCUGUGCCGGAGCUAACGCGUUAAGUGCACCGCCUGGGGAGUACGGCCGCAAGGCUAAAGCUCAAAGAAAUUGACGGGGGCCCGCACAAGCGGAGGAGCAUGUGGCUUAAUUCGAUGCAACGCGAAGAACCUUACCUGGGCUUGACAUCCAGCUGCAGGCCGGAUGAAAGUUCGGCGGCCUUCGAGGGUGCUGCACAGGUGCUGCAUGGCUGUCGUCAGUUCGUGCCGUGAGGUGUUUGGUUAAGUCCAGCAACGAACGCAACCCUUGUGUUUAUUUGCCACCCCCGAUGAUGAGUCGGGGAGCACUCUAGACAGACUGCCCGUGCAAGCGGGAGGAAGGUGGGGAUGACGUCAAGUCAGUAUGGCCCUUACGCCCAGGGCUGCACACGUGCUACAAUCGGAGGUACAGAGGGAAGCAAGACCGCGGGGUGGCGCAAAUCCCCAAAAACCUCCGCCAGUUCAGAUUGAAGUCUGCAUCUCGACUUCAUGAAGCCGGAUUCGCUAGUAAUGGCGCAUCAGCUACGGCGCCGUGAAUACGUUCCCGGGCCUUGUACACACCGCCCGUCACAUCAUGAAAGCCGUCUGCACCCGAAGUCACUGUUCUAACCUGCAAAGGAAGUAGGUGCCUAAGGUGUGGGUGGUGAUUGGGAUGAAGUCGUAACAAGGUA
rnacentral:rRNA from 1 species